rnacentral:tRNA from 1 species
GUCUCAGUGGCGCAGUGGUUAGCGCAUGAGCCCCGGUAAGGCCGAGACGCGGGUUUGAAUCACACCUGAGAUG